rnacentral:rRNA from 1 species
AUACGGAGGAUCCGAGCGUUAUCCGGAUUUAUUGGGUUUAAAGGGUGCGCAGGCGGCCAUUUAAGUUAGCGGUUAAAUCGUGGGGCUCAACCCCAUUCUGCCGUUGAUACUGGGUGGCUUGAUUGCGGUCGAGGUUGGCGGAAUUCGUUGUGUAGCGGUGGAAUGCAUAGAUAUGACGAAGAACACCGAUUGCGUAGGCAGCUGACCAGACCGCAAAUGACGCUCAUGCACGAAAGUGCGGGGAUCGAACAGGAUUAGAUACCCUGGUAGUCCGCACAGUAAACGAUGAAUACUUGUUUUCGGCGAUAUAAUGUCGGAGGCAAAGCGAAAGCGAUAAGUAUUCCACCUGGGGAGUACGCCGGCAACGGUGAAACUCAAAGGAAUUGGCGGGG